CGUGGGUAAUCUACCUUCGGGUGGGGAAUAACAGUCGGAAACGACUGCUAAUACCGCAUAAUGCAGCGGCACCUAAUGGUGACAGUUGUUAAAGCGGGGGAUCGAAAGACCUCGCGUCUGAAGAGGAGCCUGCGGCGGAUUAGCUAGUUGGUAAGGUAACGGCCUACCAAGGCUACGAUCUGUAUCCGACCUGAGAGGGUGGUCGGACACACUGACACUGAAUAACGGGUCAG
rnacentral:rRNA from 1 species